GGGGAAUAUUGGGCAAUGGGGGGAACCCUGACCCAGCAACGCCGCGUGGAGGAAGAAGGUUUUCGGAUCGUAAACUCCUGUCCUUGGAGACGAGUAGAAGGCGGUAUCCAAGGAGGAAGCCCCGGCUAACUACGUGCCAGCAGCCGCGGUAAUACGUAGGGGGCAAGCGUUGUCCGGAAUAAUUGGGCGUAAAGGGCGCGUAGGCGGCUCGGUAAGUCUGGAGUGAAUGUCCUGCUUUUAAGGUGGGAAUUGCUUUGGAUACUGUCGGGCUUGAGUGCAGGAGAGGUUAGUGGAAUUCCCAGUGUAGCGGUGAAAUGCGUAGAGAUUGGGAGGAACACCAGUGGCGAAGGCGACUAACUGGACUGUAACUGACGCUGAGGCGCGAAAGUGUGGGGAGCAAAC
rnacentral:rRNA from 1 species